ACAGCGAAAGGUGCUUGCACCUUUCAAGUGAGUGGCGAACGGGUGAGUAACACGUGGACAACCUGCCUCAAGGCUGGGGAUAACAUUUGGGAACAGAUGCUAAUACCGAAUAAAACUUAGUGUCGCAUGACACAAAGUUAAAAGGCGCUUCGGCGUCACCUAGAGAUGGAUCCGCGGUGCAUUAGUUAGUUGGUGGGGUAAAGGCCUACCAAGACAAUGAUGCAUAGCCGAGUUGAGAGACUGAUCGGCCACAUUGGGACUGAGACACGGCCCAAACUCCUACGGGAGGCUGCAGUAGGGAAUCUUCCACAAUGGGCGAAAGCCUGAUGGAGCAACGCCGCGUGUGUGAUGAAGGCUUUCGGGUCGUAAAGCACUGUUGUAUGGGAAGAACAGCUAGAAUAGGAAAUGAUUUUAGUUUGACGGUACCAUACCAGAAAGGGACGGCUAAAUACGUGCCAGCAGCCGCGGUAAUACGUAUGUCCCGAGCGUUAUCCGGAUUUAUUGGGCGUAAAGCGAGCGCAGACGGUUUAUUAAGUCUGAUGUGAAAGCCCGGAGCUCAACUCCGGAAUGGCAUUGGAAACUGGUUAACUUGAGUGCAGUAGAGGUAAGUGGAACUCCAUGUGUAGCGGUGGAAUGCGUAGAUAUAUGGAAGAACACCAGUGGCGAAGGCGGCUUACUGGACUGCAACUGACGUUGAGGCUCGAAAGUGUGGGUAGCAAACAGGAUUAGAUACCCUGGUAGUCCACACCGUAAACGAUGAACACUAGGUGUUAGGAGGUUUCCGCCUCUUAGUGCCGAAGCUAACGCAUUUAAG
rnacentral:rRNA from 1 species